GAGGUGGAGCCUGCAGAUGACAAGAACAUCAUGAGACGUUACUGCUCUGCUUGACAGUGGCAGCAUCAUGUCGCCGGUCAAACAGUGUGGUUCCUGUAGGCUGUGUGGACUACAGCUGACCGGAGCAUGUUUGACUGUAACCUUACCUGUUGACUGUUGAGGUGGUGGAAAGCCUACCUGUUGAUGUCAUCCUGGGAUGGGACUUACCUGUUGCCGUUGGAGAAAGAAAUACCUGGUAAGUCUGAAUAAGGAAUUGUAUGUAAAUGCUCUUUGUCAUGUCUUGACCCCAGCUCAAGCAAGUGUCCAACCACUCCCAAACUUUGUAAGUAGUCUGUGUGAGGGUGGAACUUUUGGGGCCUGAGGCUUUCCCCUAACCCACCAUCACCAUGCCUGCUGUAAUGCCUGCCCUAAUACAGCUCUUCUCCAGGCUGGGGAUACCAGUCGAGAUCCUCACUGACCAAGGAACCAACUUAAUCUCCAGGUGAUGCCCAGAUGCUGUUCAUGCAAUUGGGAAUUACAGCACUCAAAACCCCUCCAUACCCCCCACAGGAGUGCUAAACUUUCUGGCGACACAUUAGUUUUGUGCACUUUAUUGAAACAGCAGUAAUUGUUCUGAACCAAUAAAUUCACGUUUGAUGACUGGUCGGGUGCCACCCUGCGGUCUUUAAUGUGUAUCAGUCAAUCCCCUGAUCUGAUCAUCACAACAGAUGGGAAUGUUUUGCACGCUGGUUUUCGUAUCAAUCAUGGUUUCAGACCACAUGAUGAGCACUGCAGCAUUAACAUUAUAAAUUUAAUGUCAAGAUCAUGAAGUACAUUUUAUUGCUUUUCAAGACACUCUUUGUUAUUUACUUUUGCAAACAUAACAGCUUUACAGUAAAAAGAAGUAGACCAGUAAAGAGCGGUUAUAUUUAAAAACAGAAGUCUGUCACAUUAAAGGAUCAUGCAAGGUGACAUCCAUCACUGUUUGAUUCAGAGGAAAAGAGGAGUAUCAGAGAAAGCAAGUACAUCCCGGGGAGAGCAGAGCAAGACCGGGGCAGAGAAAGGGGGAGAGAGAGAGAGGGAGAGAGGGCUUCCUCUGGUGCAUUUUCCCCUCAGGGCAGAAAGGAGGAGGAGGAGGAGAGGGGCUGCUCCCCUGACAGAUCUGAAGAUGUCCUGUUUUGCUUUUCCUCAGCUCUCCCUCUUCCUGCAGGAAGCAACAUCACGCUGGGCACCAAAGCUUUGGCAAGCAGAGGCCACUCAGAUCUAGCACUGAUGUGUGCUGUCUGCAGAUGUAAUGCUUGAAUAAGGGAUCAACAUGCAGAUGUGCGAAAGUCAAAUCUAAUCGAUGUGAAAUGCAGAAGCAACUGGGCCACCGUGUACAUGUCCAGUCACAGGUAGAAUGUUUAAUUAUUUUAUGUCUCCUGAAAAAAUGAGCAUUAAGGCAGUUGAUUGGUCCUGCAGACAGAAGUCACAGUGUCAGGAUUACUUUAGCACCAAAUGGAGCAGAUGUGUUUUGCACCAAAAAGCCAAAAGUAUCUCAGAAACAGAUCCUGCAGCAGGGGUAGGCUGGAGCUGGUGCUGCUUGCAUGAUGAUGCUGACAUGAGCAGCAAACUGAAAUGCCAUUUUCCCAUCACAGCUCUGACCUUUGGAACAAACAGAAAGAAAAAGUCCUGGGUCUACAGAUUAAACUAUCUGUCUGGCAGUCCUAAUUAAAACAAAGGAUUAGUUCUGUGUUUUCAUUAAAAGAAAAAUUCAGAUAAUAUUCAGAUUCCUCGUUGCACUCUUGGCCUCAGCCACUCUGAAACGAGAUAAACUGUGGCUUUUGUUUAAUUUGAAGUUUGCAGCAGAGCAUUUAAAACAUUUGGCACACUGAAGUUCAGUCAUGGCUGCAUCUUCUCGCUUUUCCUGCUGCUAAUGAAAAAAUAACAACACCAGUAUUUUUUUCAAGGUAACUUUACCAAAAAUUCAUCCCCAGAUGUCUCAGUGGUCCAAAUUAACAAACAGAAAAAAAAAAAUCAAAAAAAAUCACAAGAUUGAGCGAAGCAUACAGCGAUAGCUAAUCACACUCAUGUCAGCUGGCAUCCACGUCGUAAAAGAGGGCAGUAUUUGGGAUCUGUGGAUAAAACAAAUCAAAGUUUAUACUUGAAAAAUGGACGACGACUGACUGCAGGCUAGUCAAACAUUGUGGGAGACUUGGGUCUGGGACUUUGAAAGUCAUACGUACUUGACCUGUAUGAAACAGUCAAAGCAAACAAAGAGGAAUAAUCCACACAAGAGAAUAAAAGAGUUUUAUCUGUUUUGGUCAGCCACUAAGAAAGAAUGAAAAAUUCAGUCUAAGUAGAAGCUUAAUGAAAAAUAAUAAUAAUAAUAAUAAUAAUAAUAAUAAUAAUAAUAAUAAUAAUAAUAAUAAUAAUAAUAAUAAUAAUAAUAUUUUUAACAUGAAAUGGACACAGAACUUAAUACGGUUGGCAUACAGUUACUAUAUCUGUGAUUUUUAUAAUUUAAAAUAAAUCCUGGCAGCCUUGAGUGUAAUAUUUAGAUGUAAGUGCCAAACAAAUGCGCCAGUUAAAGUAAAAAAAAAAAAACUGCCUGUUGCCAUAAAAGAACUCAAGUCAAUUCACACAAGAAUGAAAUCUCAAACAGGUAAUUUAAUCCCAAAAUAUCAAUAGUAGAAAAAUGAGAUGCAGACAAGUUGAUAUUGUGUAAGACUUAAGGGUGGGACUUUUUCAGGGUGGAAUCUCCUGAAAAGUACAGAUACUGCUGUAGUCACCAGGAAUCUUUGGAUGUAAAUGAGUUGUUAAACCAUUUAUGCUUGUGAGAGGCUUUUUGCUUUUAUUAAGGAUUUCAAACUGUUCUGAGAAACAAAACAGUCACAUUACGCAAUUAGAAAUACUGCUAACUGCAAAUAGCUACAGAAAUUCAGAGAUCAGUCACCAUUAAAAAAAUACAUCACAUGGCAGCCUGAAACGAAAUAUUAAAAUGAGAAUUCUGAAAAAACUGCAGUGAUGAAAGCAAAGUUUGUGUUAAAGUUAAACCUUAAAGGCAAAACAUAUCAAUAUAUCAGAGAGUUUUAUUCUCAAUGAUCAACAUCAGAGAGAUUUCAAUAUCGAGUUUGAGAUUCAAACAGUGUGAUUUUCAUUCAGCAGUGACAGCAGUAACUUCAUUCACACCACACACUCUCACACAGAUGUCACUUUCAUUCAUAAAAUCUGACAUCUUAAAAUAACAUCCAUAUAAACACACAUAUGUACAGUAUUUUAAACACACUCACUGAGGUCAGUGCUGACUGUUGUUCUCAUAUCUGUCCACACUUUAGUAUUUCACACUGACAUCAUCACCAACACACACCCUACACACACACACUGAGGCCGGCGGUCUCCCAGGACACACACACACACACACACUCAUGCUUUUACAGUGUCUAUCCAGGACCGGACUUUCUCUUUUCCACAUCAGUCACAUUUCUCUCUCCUCUCACCAUUCAUUCACAUGGCUGCCCCUGAGUGUGUGUGUGUGUGUAUGUUUGUGUUUUGUGUGUGUGUGUGUUUUCCUCUCAUUCUUAGUGAGAGACUUUAUCUCUGGAUCAGAUAAGGCUCUCGGUACUGGUCUUAAACCUUCAGCAGAUCUGUCCAAACACAUGAGCUCAUGUCAGAGCGCCGCUGCUGCCUGUUAACUCCAUGAGCUAAUAAAGAGUCCAUGUGUUGGUUAUUCAGGCCUUCAGGAGGUGUGGAGGGCCGAGGUUUCUUUCUUCAUUUCUGACCACCAUUUUUGUCAUUUUCUCAUCUCUGUGUUAACUUAUUCCCUGUACGCCACAUCUUACUUUUAACCCUUUCAGUCCAGGUUUUAUUCCCUUGCUCUUUCUCGGUCUGUAGGUCAGCGACACAGCUCCAACAGCUUGAAUUUUGAUCAUGUUAGCUCUAUCAGAC